GCAGUCGAGCGGAACGAUCCUAGCUUGCUAGGAGGCGUCGAGCGGCGGACGGGUGAGUAAUGCAUAGGAAUCUGCCCGGUAGUGGGGGAUAACUUGAGGAAACUCAAGCUAAUACCGCAUACGCCCUACGGGGGAAAGCAGGGGCUCUUCGGACCUUGCGCUAUCGGAUGAGCUUAUGUCGGAUUAGCUGGUUGGUGAGGUAACGGCUCACCAAGGCGACGAUCCGUAGCUGGUCUGAGAGGAUGAUCAGCCACAUCGGGACUGAGACACGGCCCGAACUCCUACGGGAGGCAGCAGUGGGGAAUAUUGGACAAUGGGGGCAACCCUGAUCCAGCCAUGCCGCGUGUGUGAAGAAGGCCCUCGGGUUGUAAAGCACUUUCAGCGAGGAAGAAUGCUUGUCGGUUAAUACCCGGCAAGGGAGACAUCACUCGCAGAAGAAGCACCGGCUAACUCCGUGCCAGCAGCCGCGGUAAUACGGAGGGUGCGAGCGUUAAUCGGAAUUACUGGGCGUAAAGCGUGCGUAGGCGGCUUGAUAAGCCGGUUGUGAAAGCCCCGGGCUCAACCUGGGAACGGCAUCCGGAACUGUUAGGCUAGAGUGCAGGAGAGGAAGGUAGAAUUCCCGGUGUAGCGGUGAAAUGCGUAGAGAUCGGGAGGAAUACCAGUGGCGAAGGCGGCCUUCUGGACUGACACUGACGCUGAGGUACGAAAGCGUGGGUAGCAAACAGGAUUAGAUACCCUGGUAGUCCACGCCGUAAACGAUGUCGACUAGCCGUUGGGGUCCUCGAGACCUUUGUGGCGCAGUUAACGCACUAAGUCGACCGCCUGGGGAGUACGGCCGCAAGGUUAAAACUCAAAUGAAUUGACGGGGGCCCGCACAAGCGGUGGAGCAUGUGGUUUAAUUCGAUGCAACGCGAAGAACCUUACCUACCCUUGACAUCGUGCGAACUUUCCAGAGAUGGAUUGGUGCCNUUCGGGAGCGCACAGACAGGUGCUGCAUGGCUGUCGUCAGCUCGUGUGUGAAAUGUUGGGUUAAGUCCCGUAACGAGCGCAACCCUUGUCCCUAUUUGCCAGGCGAUUCGGUCGGGUACUCUAGGGAGACUGCCGGUGACAAACCCGAGGAGUGGGGACGACGUCAGUCAUCAUGCCCUACGGUUAGGCUA
rnacentral:rRNA from 1 species